UGGCCCCCUCCACCUGUGGGGGGCGCCUAGCGCGGGAGCCGGCUUCGGAACCCGCCGUGGGAGAAACCGAGGGGAGCUAACGUGUGAGCCGAGAGGGGCCGAGCGUCGGCGUGCGGCGACGUGGGAAUCGAAUUUGAAGAGAGGCAGGCCUGAGAUGGACGGGGGUGCCACGGACUGACAUGCAAAAGACUUCAUGAGAAAUCAGUUGGGACGAAGGGAAGGACGAGGGACACAAUUCUGUCUUGACCAUGGUCUUUUCCAUUCUGUGUACACAUGAAGCUAUAGCAGACAAGUUCCUUGUUCUCAUUGUCUAGAACUCCUUUAGCCGUUGGUACUCUUGAUCACGGUCUGCCUAACAAAUACCUCCACGGGUUUCAAAAUUCGCCUCCUCGGUCCCGCCGUUCUGCAACGUCCCAGAUACAGUUGACCACGCUGUCUUUAAUAAUGUCGUGUGCUUUAUACAAUUAAAUCCCUCAUUGUACUUACCUAUUUAUAGGUCUCGUUCACUGUUUGACUAUUAAUCCCUUGAGGGCAAGCUGUAUACACAGUACAUGGUAACGGUACUUAAUAUAUGUUGAUACAUGUACUUAAUACAUGUCAGUGGAGUGAAUGAGUAACAAAUGAAAUCUCACUUCAGGCAUAAUGUUAUCUGGAUUCACCUCUCCCCUCCCAGGCAGCCCUAAAGGGUUCUUCCUGUUUACUCCUGUAAGGUCCUGUAUCACUUCUGUUCUAGCACCAUACUGUGCUCUAAUGUCGUAUUUUGCUCUAUAGCAUUGUUUCUUCUGCCUCUUUUGGUGCUUAUAUCCCUUCCCUGCAGUGUUCAAGUGCAAGGAUUUUAUCCUGUUAAUCUCUGUAUCCCAAUCACCUAGGUUCUUAAUAUAUGCUUUAAAAAUGUAUUGUUUAAUGGGGUGCCUGGGUGGCGCAGUCGGUUGAGCAUCCGACUUCAGCUCAGGUCAUGAUCUCACAGUUUGUGAGUUCGAGCCCCGCAUCAGGCUCUGUGCUGACAGCUCGGAGCCUGGAGCCUACUUCGGAUUCUGUGUCUCCCUCUCUCUCUACCCCUCCCCUGCUCAUACUCUUGUCUCUCUCUCUCAAAAAUGAAUAAACUUAAAAAAUUUUUUAAAAAUAAAAUAAAAAUGUAUUGUUUAAUAAUUAAAGAGCUAUCUUGCCUUUUAAAGUCUUAUAUCACAUAAUCAUGCCCAUGUUUUUCCACCUUCACUAAGGAUUCUCUAAUGACUCUGGGCUAGAACUCCCCCAGAAUCUUUCGCUCAGUGUUCUAUUGACCUGUACCUGUAUCUCUUUUGUGUAAUUACCACUUUCUAGGACAGUAAUUGGUACAGAGUGACUACAAAAGCCUAAGAACAAGAAAAAUCUUAUUCUUCAUUAUAUUCCCAUACAGCUGUAAUUCUCUUCUUUUUUUAUACUUGAAUAGCACACUAGUUCCUAGAGCCCUUGUCAUAAUUCUACCCUUCCCAUGGGAGAGAGCUGUAAAAACAAUGCUUCUGAAUCUGAUAUGAUUUAUUUUGUUAAAAUAAGCAAUCAUAAACUACUGCAUUUAUACUAUUAUUGAUAACUAGUUAUGCCAAUCUCUUGUCUCCCCAGAAGGCUUUCUUUGAAUGUUUGAUGAAUGAAUAAAAGAAGGAAGGAAUACUAUUUCCAUUACCAACUUCAGAGGGAUUUCAGACUUUGCUUUUUGUCCAAAAUUAGUCUGCUCAUUUUAUCUAUCACUGCUUAGAGCCAAAAAUAAUUUAUUUGUAUGGGCUAGAGGAAGUUAGUAUUGUCCUUUAUAAGCCAAAUUUGAAAUAAAAUAAUAGUUUCACUUAAAAGAAAUACGCUUCUUUUUUCCAGGCCAUACUAACCUUGGAAACAAAUAGAAAUGUUUACAGGAACUGAGUUUUCCCUGAGGUGUUAGUAUGGUCUGACCUCUCUAUUCUCUGUGUAACCCAAGUAACUGCUACUCUUUCCCAUUUCCCAUGUUCCCCAGCACUUGCUUUUCCAUCUGGCGCCCACUGCUGCUUUCUUGAUCCCCAAAAUUGAGGAGGAGGGAUUUUUUUUUCCUCCCAGUGACUACAACUCUUUAACAAUUGAAAAGGUGAUCUUGGGGGUGCCUGGGUGGCUCAGUCGGUUAAGCGGUUAAGCGGUUAAGCGUCUGACUCUUGAUUUCAGCUCAGGUCAUUUAAUUUCAGCUCAGGUCAUGAUCUCACAGUUGGUGAGUUGGAGCCCCACAUCGGGCUUUGCACUGACAGUACACGGAGCCUGCUUGGGAUUCUCUCCUCUCUUUCUGCCCCUUCCCCCUCUCACACAUGCACGGGCUCUCUCUCAAAAUAAAUAAACUUUAAAAAGUUAAAAAAAAAAGUGAAAGGCGAUUUUGUUCUUUUGGUUUAGACCCCAUUAUACAACGCAGAACUUGAAACAAAUGUCUCAGGAGGACUGAGCACCAGGAGGAAGUUAUCAUGCACGCUCAGCCCCAACCCGUUAUCCCUGCAAACCAUAGUAGCCCAGCCCUGGAGCACCUGUCUCUCUGCUCCUUCUACCUGCGUGGGUAAUUCUCCCCUUCUCAGGGAACACCUUCCACUUUUUCAAAGACUGGAGGCAGCUUUUAUUUCCCCCCACUUUGUUUUUCCUCUUUGUGUAAUCAUCCAAGUGCCCCAGAAAGCUGCUCCUGAUGCUGGGAGAAAGGGAGAAGGCAUGUAGGGAGGACGUCUCUGUGCAAAGUUGACACUUGGGUUCCCUUGCCAGAAUUUAGAAAGUGAGCAUGUGGUUGGCAUCCCUACCGUGAUCCUGCUCUCAUACACUUUCCUGAUUUGAUCCUCUUGAUAUCUCACAUAGAUCAUGUAACAAAGUGUGUGGAAUGUCAGGCUUACUUGGCUGCAGACAGAGAUUAGGGAUAUGCUAAAAAUCAUAAUGCAUAAUGAGAAACUUAUCACAGCAUCUCUCAUGAGUUUUUCCAGGGGAAAAAAAAAAGAAUUCAAAGCAAUCUUCAACUAUAUUCCUGGAAAUAAAUAGGUCUUUAAAUUUUUCCUCAGGAGGAAAAAAAAGAAACCACCUUAAGUAUCAUCCUCUAUUUUUUAAAAUGUAUAUUUCCAGCCUUUUAUAAUCUUUUUCAAGUCUUGUUUUGGGAACAACAAAGAAAAAAGUAAAAAUAAAUUUGAAGGCAUUCUUUUUGUUUUGCUUUAAAUCUGAUUCUAAUUCUCUUUAAUAAAACUUACAACCAUUUUUUUUUUUAGAUUCAAGUUAGUUAACAUACAGUGCAGUAUUGGGUUUCAGUAGAAUUUAGUGAUUUAUCAUUUACACGCAACACCCAAUGAUCAUCCCAACAAGUGCCCUCCUUAUCGCCCAUCACCUAUUUAACCCAUCCCCCCACCUGCCUCCCCUCUAGCAACUCUCAGUUUGCUCUCUGUAUUUAAGAGUCUCUUGUGGUUUGCCUUCCUGUUUUUAUCUUAUUUUAUUUUUCCUUCUCUUCCCCUAUAUUCAUGUUUUGUUUCUUAAAUUCUGUAUAUGAGUGAAGUCAUAUGUUAUUUGUCUUUCUCUGACUUAUGUCACUUAGCAUAAUAAACUCUAGUUCCAUCCAUGUUGUUGCAAAUGGCAACAUUUCAUUCUUUUUGAUUGCCUAGUAAU